CGACGAACCGGUCGAACGUUAUUCGGAAUCACUGGGCUUAAAGAGUGCGUAGGCGGUCUGGCAGGUGCGGUGUGAAAUCCCUCGGCCCAACCGAGGAACUGCGCUUCAAACCGCCAGGCUUGAGGAAGAUAGAGGUGAGCGGAACAGAUGGCGGAGCGGUGAAAUGCGUUGAUUUCAUCUGGAACACCUGUGGCGAAAGCGGCACACUGGGUCUCAACUGACGCUGAGGCACGAAAGCCAGGGUAGCGAACGGGAUUAGAAACCCCAGUAGUCC
rnacentral:rRNA from 1 species